rnacentral:rRNA from 1 species
GACAGAGGGAUGCAAGCGUUAUCCGGAAUGAUUGGGCGUAAAGGCGUCUGAGUAGGUGGCUUUUUAAGUUCCGCCGUCAAAUCCCAGGGCUCAAACCCUCGGGACAGGCGGUGGGAAACUACCAAGCUGGAGUACGGUAGGGGCAGAGGGAAUUUCCGGUGGAGCGGUGAAAGUGCGUUCAGAGAUCGGAAAGAACACCAACGGCGAA